UACGGGGGGGGGCAAGCGUUGUUCGGAAUUACUGGGCGUAAAGGGCGCGUAGGCGGCCCUCUAAGUCAGACGUGAAAUCCCUCGGCUCAACCGGGGAACUGCGUCUGAGACUGGAGCAGUGAAUCGGAGGAGGAUGUGAUCAGUGUAGCGGUGAAAUGCGUAGAUAUCAGGAGGAACACCGAUGGCGAAGGCAGGUCUCUGGGCAUUAACUGACGCUGAGGAGCGAAAGCAUGGGGAGCGAACAGG
rnacentral:rRNA from 1 species